UUCCCACCCUGGCUGCCACUCCUCUGUGGCUCAUGCCCGCCCUCCCCGCUAUCCUAACCUAAAACGCUGCAAGCCCUGUCCUUCUAUUCAUGACAUUUCCCAAUUCGGUGGUCCCAGAAUUCUUUCCAAUUACUCACCUGUCUAUUCCCCUACUCCUCCUAGCGCUGAUUCCCAGCGCUGUAGUUCCAGAACUCCUUCCUGUGACUCCUUUCGUUUUUCCUCUUCUUCUAGCUCUGAUUCCCUAUGUCGUCCCAGAACUCUUUCCAAUUACUCACCUGUCUAUUCCCCUACUCCUCCUGCUAGCCCUGCUUCCCAGAACCGUGGUCUCAGAUCUCCUUCCUGUAACUCCUUUGUCUACUCCCCUACCCCUCCUGCUAGCCCUGCUUCCCAGAACCGUGGUCUCAGAUCUCCUUCCUGUAACUCCUUUGUCUACUCCCCUACCCCUCCUGCUAGCCCUGCUUCCCAGAGCCGUGGUCCCAGAACUCUUUCCCGUCACUAUUCCCCUACUCCUCCCUCCUAGCCUUGCUUCUUUCUAGUCCCCAGCCCCCAACCCUACCAUCCCCAACUGGACCUGAGAGUCCACAAAUCUCAUCUUGGAGAUGGUUUUCCUGCUCCUGGGACAGUUCUGGGGCAGUUCAGGAUGGCCGAGACCGCAGAUUCCCAGCAGCCUGACCCGGUGGACAAAGGAAAGGCAAGCGUGAUGGCAACCCAGCAUUCAUCCUGAUAUGGGCCUUUCCUCCCCUGCCUGAUCAGCCAGCCUGCCUGAGCUUCUCCAUGUGUCCUGGGCUUCUCCAUGGAAGUCGGUCUGUAGCCACAGAGCAAACCACAGGGCCGGUGACAGAGAAGGUAGAGGGGAGUGAGGAGUGGGAAGCACCUCACCUGUUCUCUAGAAGGUCAAGUCCUGCCCUGGGUUAAGGGAAUGACUGGCCAAGCUGAGAUCCAGUCCUAUGUCCAUUGCCUCCCGGGUUGGCCACUGGUGGUGAGUCCUUUCCAGGCCCUGUG